rnacentral:lncRNA from 1 species
GUGUUCUUCUGGCAGGUCCUGGACCCGUUUUUACGGGGGGUAAUGUUCGUGUUGUAGAGGAGGUUCUGCCGGAUUUUCGGUAGAAUUCUCCUGAGUCGAGAUUCUUAGACAGUCAGUCCUAGGAGUCUAGACCUAAGAUCAAAGAUCGAUUGUUUCAGCGUUUUGAUAAAUUGUUUUCCGUGACUAGAUUGUCCGUUUGUUCGGCUCGCUCCAACCGAAGCACCGGAGCAGAGCUAGGAGGUCGCCUAAUUUUGUGAGUUAAAGUCAUAUAUCGCUUAUGCACGUGUCAUGCAUAAAAUUUGAUUUGCUACUGUGAUUAUUCAUUUGCAAUUUUAAUUUUUCAUUUAAUUAUUAUCAUUAUUUUCUUGAUGCUUUUAAUUAUUAUUUAAAUAUAUUUUUCCUUUAUCACCAAUUUUAAUAUUGCAUGAUGACUCAGGAUGGGACGGCAGUAGAACAUAGGAGUUGGAUGAGUGUUCCAAUAUAAUAUGAGAGAGAUAGGAAAAGGGUAAAGAGGUAAAAAAUUUGAGAAAGAAAGAUUAGAACCUGCCCUGGUCGAGCAUCGCUCUCUGGGCUUAGUAGAGUGUGGUUGCCGGAGUAAAGGUCCCUGGUCGAGCAUUGCUCUCUGGGCGCCGGCUUAUUUGGAAAUUUAAGUGACCAGACUGGAGGUAAGGUCCCUGGUCGAGCUAUGCUCUCUGGGCGCCAGUCUUAUUGGAUAAGAGAGCCGAAAGGCUAAGGCGGAGAGUUAAGUGACCGGACUGGAGGUAAGGUCCCUGGUCGAGCUUUGCUCUCUGGGCGCCAGUCCU